GCUGUAGUUCAGUGGUAGAACAUUUGCCUUGCAUGCAGACGGUCCCAGGUUCAGUUCCCAGCAUCUCCA